rnacentral:lncRNA from 1 species
AACUAACGAAUUUCACGCAAGAAUUAGAUUUACAACCUUAAUUGUACCAUGUCAAACAAUAAUCAAUAGAAAUAAUUGAAAAUAGCUACUGCUUUUUACCAGAAAUUUCUUAGUACUCAUAAAACUCUGUCAUUAGUACCUUUACACUCACAACAAAUUAUGAAGGGCACAUUCGUUCCAUCAACAUUAACAUGGUUCAAGCAAAAAUCCGUUAUUUCCGCUAGCUAAGGCUGCCACUUAUCAAAGAAACCUUAAGUGUUUGGUUAAACUCACACAUUAUACGAUGGUUAACCCAUUCCAAUCAAGAACUCAAUUUACAACUUCAUUUGCUUCAUAUCACAGAUUUAAUUCAUGAAAUAAACUAAAAUGGCUGCUGCCAACCUAAGAAAAUCAAGGUUUCUCGAUGAAAAUCCAUACUAUAAAUACUAGUUGACUCAUUUACCAACAAAAACUUAACUUAUCAUGUCAAAUGCCUUAUAUCAAAGCAGAAAUUUUGAGCAAAUAGCUAGGUUGGCUG